CGGCGGCCAUGUUGAGCGCGGCGGCGGCCGCCCGCUUCAGCUCCGCCGUGCCGGGGGCUGCAGCGGGUGCCGGACGCCGCAUCGCGCUGAGGUGAGAGGAAAAACAAAAAAACAAAUGUGAACACCAAAAUACAAGCACAGCUCGUUGGAAAAAGCCCUAAGUAGUGCCUCCCUCCCAAGUCCUUGAAGAGCAAACCUGCUCCUCCCAAAUGCAGAAGACUUUAACGACAACAACAGAAACAUGAUUCUCCUUUGUCUUGCACAAUGGAGGCCCUUUUCAGGCCAAACAGGCAACACAAGAUGAGAUAUACGGCUCCACAGUCCACUCAGCUUAUCUGUGUCCAUGCUAUUGUAAGAAGUAGGAACAUCUGAACUCGUAAACUUC